GCGACCCCAGAUCAGGUGAGAUCACCCGCUGAGUUUAAGCAUAUCAAUAAGCGGAGGAAAAUAAACUUACAAGGAUUCCCCUAGUAAUGGCGAGCGAACUGGGAAUAGCCUAACUUGAGAAUCGGGCGAUCACGCCAUUUGAAUUGUAGUCUGGAGAAGCAUUCUCAGCGGCGGACCGUGGUCGAGUACCCUAGAAUGGGGCGCCAUAGAGGGUAAGAGCCUCGUUGCUCCCAGAUCCUGUCGCACCAUGAGGUGCUGUCGGGGAGUCGGGUUAUUUGGGAAUGCAGCCCUAAUCGGGCGAUAAAUUCCAUCUAAGGCUAAAUGCGGGCGAGAGACCAAUAGCGAACAAUACCCGAGGGAAAGAUGAAAAGGACUCUAAAAAGGGAGUCAAAGAGUGCUUGAAAUUAUCGGGGGGAAGUGGAUGGGGGCUGGCAAUGCGUCCCAGUCGGAUGUGGAAUGGCGAGAGCCGGUCCGCCGAUCGACUGAGGGCGCAGACCAGCAUGGAUCAAUGUGGCACUCAAUGCUCAGGCGGUCGAUAUGCUCAUUGUAUGGUGUCGCGCCAAUCCAGGCAGACAGCAUGCGCCUCGUGCAUGCCUCAACAACUGCGUGCUCCCAGUGCUGGCCUGCGGUCUUCCCAUUCAACCCAUCUUGAAACACGGACCAAGGAGUCUAACAUGUGCGUGAGUCAAUGGGCGAUUAAACUCGUAAUGCACAAGGAUGCAGACCUUGAUCUUAUGAGAAGGGUUCAAGUGAGCAUACCUGCCGGGACCCAAAAGAUGAUGAACUAUGUCUGAGCGGGGCGAAGCCAAAGGAAACUCUGGUGGAGGCCUACAGUGAUACUGAUGUGCAAAUCAUUCAUCUUACUUGGGUAUAGGGGCAAAAGACUAAUCGAACCGUCUAGUAGUUGGUUCCCACCGAAGUUUCCCUCAGGAUAGCUGGAGCUCUAGUGCGAGUUCUAUCGGGUAAGGCUCUGGAUCUUUUUGCUAAAAUGUCAGGCUUGGAAGUAAGCACGGAUAAAUCUCACUUGUUUAUGGCAGGUGUUCCGGAGGCUGUAGAACAGGGGAUCCAUGAGGUAUUGCCUUUUAAGGAAGGCACCUUUCCCGUGCGCUAUUUGAGAGUACUGCUAUAAGGAAGCAAACUUUGGGAGUCUGCCUUCGAGUCUCUCAUCACCCAGAUAUCCAAUUUAAUCUGGGGCUAGUCCACACAUUUGCUCUCCUAUCCAGGCUGGCUGGAGCUCAUUCGGUCGGUAGUGUAUGGGGUGAUGAACUUCUGGAAUUCUAUGGUGAAGAUUCCAAAGGGAAUUGUUGACAGAGUUGAGCUCAUGAUCUAGAAAUUCCUUUGGAGAACCACGAGGGGUGCAGUUCGUUGGGGAGAGGUGAUCCUUCCUAAGGAACAGGGCGGCCUGGGACUUAGGGGUUUCAAUCUCUUGAACGAUGUAGCCCUAUGCGGAGUGUUGUGGGAUGUACAUCUGGAGAAGAAGUCUCUUUAGAUUAAGUGGAUUAAUGACAUUUAUCUUUUGACCUCUUCGUGCUGGGAUGUUGAGGUUAAUUACAGUGCCUCAAUGGUGUUGAAGGAUAUUCUUCGUGCGAAGGAUAGAGUUCGAGCACAGGUCGGAGGCAACAUUGUCACCUCAUUUGCGUUGUGCUCGGAGAUGGGAAAGCUUCUUAUAGGCAAAUUGUACUGGCUUGCUGCCACCACUGCACUAGUAUAGUUUAUCUACAAGAAGCUUUGGAGUCUGUGGGUUCCUCAGAAACAUUCGUUUAGGAUGUGGAUUGCCCUGAGGAAUCGUCUGCUUACCAUGGAUAGAUGGAGGUAAUAUGAAGACUCAGUGGAAUUCGUGCUUUGUGUUGGUGCCCUGAGACUAUAGAUCAUCUCUUCUUCAGCUGCCCAUUCACAAAGUAUGUCUGGAACCGGGUUAGAAAUGAAGUGGAUUGGAGGAGAGAGGUGCCCAUUCCUAGUCCUGAACCCAUCGGUUGUCGGCGAAUGCUCGAGCUGCUCGCAUGGUGAGAGCAGGUUGUUGCGUGCCGGUCGGGGGACGGACUUGGAAUGGCUCUCUCAGGAGCCUUCCCCAGGCAUCAAACAGUCGACUCAAAACUUGUAUGAACAAAGGGAAUCCGACUGUUUAAUUAAAAUAAAGCAUUGCGAUGGUCCUUGCAGAUGCUCAUGCAAUGUGAUUUCUACCCAGUGCUCUGAAUGUCAAAGUGAAGAAAUUCAACCAAGUGCCGGUAAACAGCGGGAGUAACUAUAACUCUCUUAAGGUAGCCAAAUGCCUCGUCAUCUAAUUAGUGAUGCGCAUGAAUGAACUAAUGAGAUUCCCACUGUCCUUGUCUACUGUCCAGCGAAACCACAGCUAAGGGAACGGGCUUAGCGAAAUCAGCGGGGAAAGAAGACCCUGUUGAGCUUGACUCUAGUCCUAAUUUGUGAAAUGACUUGAGAGGUGUAGGAUAAGUGGGAGCCGAAAGGAGAAAGUGAAAUACCACUACUUUUAACGUUAUUUUACUUAUUCUGUGAAUUGGAGGCGGGGCAUCGCCCCUCUUUUUGGACCCAAGGCUCGCCCCGACGGGCUGAUCCGGGCGAAAGACAUUGUCAGGUGGGGAGUUUAGCUGGGGCGGCGCAUCUGUUGAAAGAUAACGCAGAUGUCCUAAGAUAAGCUCAACGAGAAUAGAAAUCUCGUGUGGAACAGAAGGAUAAAAACUCGUUUUAUUCUGAUUUCUAGUACGAAUAAGAACAGUGAAAGCGUGGCCUAACGGUCCUUUAGACCAUCGGAAUUUGAAGCAAGAGGUAUCAGAAAAUUUACCACAGGGAUAAUUGGCUCGUGGCAGCCAAGCGUUCAUAGCGACGUUGCUUUUUGAUAUUUCGAUGUCGGCUCUUCCUAUCAUUAUGAAGCAGAACUCACCAAGCAUUGGAUUGUUCACCCACCAAUAGGGAACGUGAGCUGGGUUUAGACCAUCGUGAGAUAGAUUAGUUUUACCAUAUUGAUGAUGGUGUCUAAAUAGUAAUUCAACCUAGUACGAGAAGAAUCGCUGAUUCGCACAAUUGGUCAUUGCGCUUGGUUGAAAACUAGUGGCGCGAAGCUACCGUGCGCUGGAUUAUGACUGAAUGCCUCUAAGUCAGAAUUUGAGCUAGACGCGAUGCAUGCGCCCGCCCCCACGUGUGGGCAUGGGCAAGCGUGGCCUUGGCAUGGGCAAGCCAUGGGCCACGGCAUGAACAAGCGUGUGCACAGGAAAUCGUGGGCAACCAAUGUGGGCAAUUCUAGGCAACGGCCAAGGGCAGCAGUGGGAAUAGGCCAUGGCAUGGGC
rnacentral:rRNA from 1 species